CGCAUGAUACCUGAGGGUCAAAGGCGCAAGUCGCCUGUGGAGGAACCUGCGUUCGAUUAGCUAGUUGGUGGGGUAAAGGCCUACCAAGGCGAUGAUCGAUAGCUGGUUUGAGAGGAUGAUCAGCCACACUGGGACUGAGACACGGCCCAGACUCCUACGGGAGGCAGCAGUGGGGAAUAUUGGACAAUGGGCGAAAGCCUGAUCCAGCAAUGCCGCGUGUGUGAAGAAGGUCUUCGGAUUGUAAAGCACUUUCGACGGGGACGAUGAUGACGGUACCCGUAGAAGAAGCCCCGGCUAACUUCGUGCCAGCAGCCGCGGUAAUACGAAGGGGGCUAGCGUUGCUCGGAAUGACUGGGCGUAAAGGGCGCGUAGGCGGUUGUUACAGUCAGAUGUGAAAUCCCCGGGCUUAACCUGGGAACUGCAUUUGAUACGUGACGACUAGAGUUCGAGAGAGGGUUGUGGAAUUCCCAGUGUAGAGGUGAAAUUCGUAGAUAUUGGGAAGAACACCGGUGGCGAAGGCGGCAACCUGGCUCGAUACUGACGCUGAGGCG
rnacentral:rRNA from 1 species